rnacentral:miRNA from 1 species
GAAAGAGAGAUGACUGUG